rnacentral:lncRNA from 1 species
GCACACAUGAUUACUAAUGUUAUAACUAGAAAAUUUUACAACUUUAAGGACUCAUAUUACAACUUCGAGGACUAAUAUUACUAAUUUGAGGACUCAAUUUAUAAAGUUGAUGAAUCACAUCAUUCACAUGCAUUAACACGUUGUAAAAUUUUCCUAAAAUUACAAUCUUACACGUCUAAAAUUUUUGGUCCUUUUUACCAUUCAUUGCAUAAAGAGGUUGAAUUCAAUUACGGUAUUCUAAACAAAUUUCAAAGCAAAAAUUAUAAAGAGAAGCAAUUCAAAUGACUUUUUACAUGUGCGUAGCACGGGUAGGAAGUCUAGUAUAUAAGUCAAAGCCUAUACAAUUCUUAGGGCUGCUCAGAUGCGAGACAAGAUAUGCAGGACAAAAUGGGACGAAUGAAUGACAACCAUUGAAUUGUUAAUGAGACGAUCAGACGGACAUGAAAUCAUACCCAUCAAUCCCAAUAAUCAUAUAACCAUUAUUCCCCAAAAACUGAUCCUUUUCUUCUCCCUCCCUCUUCUCAAUCAUCAGAUUGUAGUCUCCCUUAUACUAUUGGUGUUUCAUCCUCGUCAUCUACAAUCCCCGCCUCCCUCUCUCUUACUCUAAGUAGUUUCAAAAUACUGCAAAUAAGUUUUGCAAGGGAAGAUAACGCAAUAGCAAUCAUAUAUACUCGGUAUAGAAGAAAUUGAUGAAUUUCAAGAGUCAAAAGCUUCAGAAAU